GGACACUUGAAUCCAAGAGUUAUGCCUAACACUCAAUGACUGCAGCCCCUAUGCUCCACUACAUCUUCUCUUUCCUUCCUUCCUUCCUUCCUCCCUCCCUCUCUUCCUUCCUUCCUCCCUUCCUCCCUUCCUCUCCCCUUCCUUCCUUCCUUCCUUCCUUCUCUCUCUCUCUCUCUCUCUUUCUUUCUUUCUUUCUUUCUAGGCAGGCUCUGGCUCUGUUGUCCAGACUGGAGUGCAAUGGCAUGAUCUUGGCUCACUGCAACCUCUGCCUCCUGGGCUCAAGUCAUCCUCCCACCUCAGUCUCCCAAGAAGCUGGGACCACAGGCACACACCACCACGCCUGGAUAAUUUUUGUAUUUUUGUAGAGAUAGGGUUUUGCCAUGUUGGCCAGGCUGGUCUCAAAUUCAUGAGCUCAAGUAAUCCACCCACCUCAGCCUCCCAAAGUGCUGGGAUUACAGGCUUGAGCUGCUGCACCCGGCCUUCAACCUGUGCUAAUAUAAGAGGAUUCUGACCUUUUACUUUUCUGAUAGUUUCUCCUCGGAGAAGAGCUAACUGGUUAGAUUUCUUCUAAAAAUGUGCCCAGCAUCAAGCACAAUAAUCCAAUCAUGUUUCACCUCCCUUCAUGUUCCAUGAUUUUCCCACUUAGAGAGAAGUUGGAAGCAAAAUAGCAGCUGAGCAGUUGUACUUUCUUUUUCUUUUCUUAGCCCCCAUUGGUGGUCCUUUUUCCCAUUGGUUUUCUUUGAUCAUAUCUAAUUGAGGGCUUUUGAAGGCCCAUUGCUUUUUCAACAAGUUUCCAUUAUUUUGAGGUCCCAGUUUUCCUGAAACAAUUCAUUUCACUGCUCUUCAUUUGCAUUUGCGGUGGGUCAAAUAUUCUAUGUUCAUUUUUUACACGUCUCUUUUAUUCCUAAGCAUUUCAGAGGUCUUCUUGAUUCAAUGACAUUUUCUGCUUUGGGUAUCUUCACUCCUCAUUUCCUCAUUGGGAUAAUAUUUAUUUGUAGAAUCAGAGUUUUGGGGGUUUUCUUUAAGACCUUUUAAUGACUCGAGGUUUUUUUCUGUCUUGGACUUUCUAGGCAUGGGCUUAUACUUUAAUGUGUUUCAGAAAGUCUUGAAACCUGCUAUAUUAGUUAGGUUAGCUUGGGCUAUGCCCCACCCUAACACACAAGCCCCAAGUCAUACAACAGUACACAGAAGAGUGUGUUCUCCCUUCACUGUGGGUUUGGUCGGCUCCUCAAAGCCAUGUCCUCCAUACAGAGACUCAGGGACCCAGCUUCUUCCACCUUUUUUGCUCUGGCCAGAGACAUGUCAGAGUAAGGCAUGGCUUCUUCACCACCUCCACCUGAAAAUGACCCGUGCCAUUUCUGCCCACCCUUCCUUGGACAGACCUAGUCAUAUGGCCUCCCAAGUGCAAGGGGGCUGCCAGUACCAUUUUCUGAGUUCCAGAAUAAUGGGAAAGCUGCUGGUGGUGAGUACUCAUCUUGUCUACUCUGGUUCAUGUUUGACUACACCCAGAGUUCCCUCCUUUUACUAUUAUCCAACCUAAGAUGACAGGCCCCUUUCUCUCUAAAUGUUCAUGUUGGCACAUUUGCUUAAACCUGGGUUCUCAGUAGCAAGACCUUUUUUUGCUUCCCAAACACUCCUGAGAGUAGACUGCUGGCAUACCUUUCUGUUGAGCAAAUUAGGGCUUCCAGAGAUAUAUGGUUUGUUGCACUGCUCCAGCACUACCUCCCUUGUCCCUUUGCCAGAUGUGUUAUUUUUAGGGGACUCUGAAGCAGACUGCUCAACUCCUUCCAAAGGACUAUGGCCCUUACCUAUGCCCCAACUGGUAGCAGGGGCCCUGCCACCCAGGCAGACCCCCCAAUGCUGCAGCUCACCUGCCUUACCUGUCGAGCUCCAACAGCCCAGGAUUCCCAUCAAUAUGCCCCAAAUUAUUCUCUUGCCUUCACUGUGUACCAUUUUCCUGGCCCAUGAACAGACCUCACUGAACUGAUCUGACUACAAGUUUUACCUGCUUGACUGUACCACCUCCGUCAACGCUGGCUUUUGCAUCAUUUUUCCUAAAUGCCAACGCUUCUUGGGGUGCUGGCUGUGUUCUCAGCUCUCCUGCAUCAUGCAAGUCCUGAGUGUUCCUGCAGGACUCUCAGAAGCGUUAUCACUUGAGAAAAAGCUAGUAUCUCCUUGGGAUAGACUGAACGCUGCCUUCUCUAUACCUGAUGUGUAUAAUGUCACCUGGAAGAACAAAGCCAUCAGCCUGCAUUUCAACUAGACACCGGGGGUAGGAUCAGGGGUAGGACUUGGGGGACACCUUGUCAAAUAAUUUAAUUGGAUUCUUACAAAAAAGGAAUCAGAAUCUCCCGCUGAGUCUCUCUGUGGCUAUGGACUGGCCCUUUAGAAGUUUCUGCUUGGCUGAUUCAAGUUCUUUUCUUAUUUCUAGCACCCAGUCAGCAAAUUUGAAAAUGUACCAAAGACAAAAGAAAAGGAACCACUCCUGCUCUCCAAAAUCCUGUGAAGUCUUGUGAAGUACUAACUGCACUGUGGGCAAGGUGGCCUCAAAGAGCGAGGACUGGUCAAGUGUACUGUGCCAGAGAGAGUAAAUCAGACUUGGGGACACAUACGCUGGAUUUGAGAGUGGAGGGUUAAAGAAAGGAGGCCAUCUUGGAGAGCAACCGCGGCCUGGGAACAGGGUGAGAGCUGAGAGCAUGCAUCACAUUCCCAGUACCAGUUGUUGGAAGCCAUGAGCCAUCAGGAGACUUAGAACCAUCUGACCUUCAGGAUUGAUCACUAACCUGCGGAAGGAAGGGUGAUGUUCAAUGUUUGAAUUUUCCACCUUAUUGAAAUUAGACUUGUCUGCAACAUUGCUGAACUAAGAAUUAGUUAAUUCAUAUGAAACACCUCUCAUGAUGAUUAACAUAGGUGGUAGCCACUGCAGUUGAAGAUUAUCUGGAAGUUUACAUAUAAGAAGGAUCCAAGCAAAAAUUGUUCUAAAAUAUUUUUCAAUGUGGUCAUCCUUUUCCAUAGCUCCUGCUUAUUGACUGUGUGGCCUACAGGCUGCCCGUGUCCAUCUGGGGGUUGGGGGGACCCUGAUCUAAUCAACACGGACAGGACAGCCUGGGUCAAACUGGCUCUCUCUGAGGUGAUUGAAGGCUGCUGGACUCACACGUUCCGUGGCGCGAAGUCCAAGUGCACACGAGGGCAUAUGGGGCGCUAUGGACUGAAUGUUUGGGUCCCCCCCCAAAAUUCAUAUGUUGAAACGCUGCCCUCCAAUGGGAUGGUAUUGGGAGGUGGGCCUUGGGAGCUGAUUGGGGUGAGAUGAGGUCAUGAGGAAGACACCCCAUGAUGGGAUUAGUGUCCUUAUAAAAAGAGAAGGCACCUGGAGCUCUGUCUCAGCCCUAUGAGGGUGCAGCUAGAAAGCGGCCACCCACAGCCCAGGAAACGGGCUCUCCCCAGGCGUGGAAUCUGCUGGCACCUUGAUCCUGGACAUUGACCUCUGGAACUAAAGAAUACAUGUUUGUUGUUUAAGCCUCUAGUCUACAGUAAUUUGUUAUAGCAGCUGGAGCCUAUUAAGAUGUGGGAGGAGAGCCCUGAAGGAGUGGGACCUUAAGAAAGGGACAUGGUCAGCGUGGCUAGAGAGAGAGGCAGGAAACAGGUGAGAGAGGCCAGGGAGACUGGGGAAUUCUGAUUGCAGAAUACAUGAUUCUGCAAGACUGGCUCACUGGAAGAACUUCCACUUUAGCCCUAGAGGGAGAUGAGCUGUGAGUGGUUUGAGCAGGGGAACAUGAGUGACUGCAUUUUUAGGAGCUCAUGGUUGUUGCUUUCUUGAGGACAGCCUCCAGGGGGAAGGUUGGGACAGAAAGAAGCAGGCACAAGGCAGUUAUGAUAAACCAGGGCAAGGCACUGAGGGAAAAGGUGGGGCUCGGGAGGUGGGGAGAAGGUGCUCCUUUGAGACAGAGCUGGGAGAAUUUGCUGAGGAUUGAUGUGGAGAGGACCCCAGGCCCAAGGAUAUUGCUAUCAUCCACCAGGAUGGAGACGACAAGAGACAGGUUUAAGCCCACGUAGAACUGGAAGAAACCUUCUUUCCUUUUUUCCUUCCUCCUUUUCUCCCUCCUUCCCUCCUUCCCUCCCUCCUUCCCUUCCUUCCCUAUUUCCCCCCCUCCCUUCCUUCCUAUCUUUCUUUUUUCCGGGAUGAGAAAAGCGCCUGCUUGUUUGUGUCCUGACGGGGUGAUCCAGGAGAGGGGAAAUCCCGUGAUGCCCGAGAGGAAGAGGAGAGAAUUGCUGGAGGCCUGUCCUUGAGAUGGCAGGAAGGGAUGGGUUUAGUGCCCCAGAGGAUUUGGCCUUGGUUGGUUCAUGAACAGUUGGCACAAACAAUUCCUCUGCAGUAACAGGAGGGAAGGCCAAGUGUGGGUCUAGACACGGGGAGGUGGGUAGACGCAGACAUCCUUUGUUAAUUGGUUUUUCUCAGUGAAAAAGAAGGUUAGGUCAUCAGAUGAGAGUGAGGCUGGGAGAAGGGUUGAAAGUUUGGGGAGAGGGGAAUAGGAGUGACAUAGUCUCCUAGGAUAGGGGGACACUGAAGUGACCAGGUGAACACAAGAUUUCCAGGCAGCUUGGAGGGUCCUCCUGAGGUCAGUGGUCCUAAAUUCAAGUGCGGCCAGUAGACCAGGUAGGAGUUUUUCUCCAGUAUAAUCAGGUGCAAGGGUGCAGUGAGGGGCUGGUAGAGUUGGGUUUAAUUGGGUUUGGGGGCUUUCCAGGUUAACGUGACUGUGGGAGAAUGGACAAAAGUGCUGAAUGCAUAUGGAGGGGAAGGAUUAAAAUGGUGGGCUCUGGAAUCCAAGCUGGUGUGGAGGGAAUCAAGGAUGAAGAGGAAAGGAGGGACCAUUGCAAAUCUAGCAUCAGGGAGGUGUAGGUCCCAGGGAGAUCAAAUUAUUGUUGGGGUGGAGGUGCAUGGCCAGAAAACUGGAGGUGGGUUCAGGGAGUGGGAUGCUUGACAGAGAUUAUGAAGGGUCACAGUUAUGAUCAUGACACUGUCUAUGAUGUGAUGGAAAGUGGCUCCUGGUAUCCUGUGGGCAGCAGUAACCUGGAAGAGAGGAGGAAGCCACUGAAGGGCCAGGUAUUGGAGGGACCAUCAAUGUGGAUAUGCACACCGAUGCAUUAUAGCAGAAGCAGUGCUGGGGAGACAGACAGGGACCAGGUGCUAAGGUCUUUAGGGAAUGAGGCCGGUGGCCUCAGAGGAGACCUCUAAGGCUCAAGGUUGGUGCCACAGUCUACAGCAUAGGCCACACAGCUUUUUCUUUAGGCAGGGAUUAUGGGGGACAUGAUGAGGGCAGGAGAAAAAGUAUAAACAUUUGAAAAUGAUGGCAAGGAACAAACAGGACUAUCUCCUACUUCUAAGCCCAGGGAUAGAAUGGGUGUGAGCAAAAGACACCGACCCCUCAGCAGACAGAAGCACAAGUGGCCUCUCAGGGCAGCACCAGAUCCAUUCAGGCAAGCGACUGAAGGCAUUGCUCACAGCAGAUAUUUGUGAGCUGCAGAAAAUGACAAAUACAUAGUUUAUUAAUAUUUUCAACUGGAUUCCUAUGACAUUUAUUUUAAAUAACAUGUUUGCUAAGACAUAUGAACUUUUAAGACUCAUUUAUUUCUUACCUGUCCAUCAUUGUUCUUUCAGAAUUCAGACAUUUCAACUCUGGAACUGUUAUUAUCUGGCAAAUUGCAAUGCAUUAUAAUUGUUAUGCUCUUAUGCAGACCAGGCAGCUUUGCUCAAACAAUAGCUGGAUAGUGACAUUCCACGUUUCUAUUUAGUUUGUUUCAGCAGUUGUAAAACACAGGCAGCACUGCUGCCCCCAGGUGGUGUGCAGGAAAACUGCGUCUUCAUCUUCUAAGAAACACCUACCUGAGCGCCUUGUUGGUAUAGGCUGUCUGGCCUCAUCUUUUGAACUUGAUACAACUCAGUGGAAUGACUGUAAAGGCUACUAAAUGUAGUGUUUUACUGUAGCUGAUACACACAGGUAAUUAUUUAUUAAUUGACAACUCUAAGAAAAUGAAUACUCCUCUUCACACCCAGUGCCCCAAUACACAACCAUUGAUGUGUGUAUGAAGAUAAACAUGCAUACAUUUCCAAUUCCUAUGGUGUUUGAAGAAGAGAUGGAUUAGUGUGAAUAUUUAAGAAUUUUCAAUCUUCAGAACUUAAAAUGAGCAUGCAAAUAACCGUUAAGCAUGUGAAAUUAAAUAAAAACUUAAAAGAAUUCAAAUUUAAGCUGUUGGAACUUUAAAUUAUCCCGAGUCUUGAAAGGAAUGACUAUGCAGCCUGCAUCAAGCAUCAUGCAGCUGCAACUUCUGCCUUUCAUGUCACCAUACAUAAUUAAGACCAAAUGGUGCCAGAGAUAAGCCCCCCUCAGAUCACUACCCCUUCUCAUGGAGUAAUAAUUUUUUUUUUUUUUGAGACGGAGUCUCCUCGCUCUGUCACCAGACUGGAGUGCAGUGGUGUGAUCUCAGCUCACUGCAACCUCCACCUUCUGGGUUCAAGUGAUUCUCCUGCCUCGGCCUCCUGAGUAGCUGGGACUACAGGCACGCGCCAUCACGCCCAGCUAAUUUUUGUAUUUUUAGCAGAGAUGGGGUUUCACCAUUUUGGCCAGGAUGGUCUCGAUCUCUUGACCUCGUCAUUUGCCUGCCUUGACCUCCCAAAGUGCUGGGAUUACAGGCAUGAGGCACUGUGCCUGGCCGAGUAAUUUUUUUUUUUUUUUAGAAUGUAACAAUCUGUAAUCAAUCAGAUUGCUGUAGUGUAUGGAAAAUGUUGCAAUCCUGCUAAAAUUUCCAUAUAGAUGAACCCUUAACCUCUCCACUUUGGAACACUGACUCCAUUGGUUCAGUGUUUCGGGGUGGCCAUCCUUGAGCUUUGUACUCAAAUAAACUCUAUACUUAAUCAUA